rnacentral:tRNA from 1 species
GCGCCCGUAGCUCAGCAGGAUAGAGCACCAGAUUCCUAAUCUGGGGGUCACAGGUUCGAAUCCUGUCGGGCGCACCA